GUAGGCGUGUCUCUGUAUAUAUGUGUCUCUGUAUGUAUGUGUCUGUAUAAUACAGACACAUACACACACACACACACAUACAGACACAUACAUACACAUACAGAUUGUAUGUGUGUGUCUCUGUAUCAUACAGAGACACACAUACAUACACACACACACACACACAC